AAUCUUUUUCGAGUUAGUGUGGAGUGGCCUUAAGGCUGGAAAUAAUCCUGUUGGCCAGGACCCCAGAGCCAUACAGAUGAGAAAGGGAUGCAGGAAAUUCUGUUGUUUACACGUGUCUGUAACACUGAGCCGCUAAAGCAGCCCAGCAAGCCCAGAGGAAGCUUGCCAUCAUCUAAGUUUUACUGGAGUCAUGUCUUUUUGCCAUGCAUCCAAACGAUGAGGAUAGUGAAAAUGUAAAGAUUCAUCUUCUGAAAGUCAUCAGUACUGAAUCACUUCUGGAUGAGAUGAAAAUAUAACUCAUAAAUGAAGAGUGAGAAUUAUAAUUGUUUGGUGGAAUAACACUUGG